rnacentral:rRNA from 1 species
CACGUAGGGUGCGAGCGUUGUCCGGAAUUAUUGGGCGUAAAGAGCUCGUAGGCGGUGUGUCGCGUCGGCCGUGAAAACCUGCAGCUUAACUGUGGGCUUGCGGUCGAUACGGGCAUCACUGGAGUUCGGCAGGGGAGACUGGAAUUCCUGGUGUAGCGGUGAAAUGCGUAGAUAUCUGGAGGAACACCGGUGGCGAAGGCGGCAUCCUGGACCAACACUGACGCUGAUGAGCGAAAGCCAGGGGAGCAAACGGG